GCCGGGAUAGCUCAGCUGGGAGAGCAACAGACUGAAGCUGAUGGAGUUUCGGUUUUCUGGAGGUCGCGUGUUCAAUUCACGCUCCUGGCA